GGGCCAUAAGCUCAGUGGGAGAGCUUCCGUUUUGCAUGCAGAAGGCCCAGGUUCAAUCCCCGGCAUCUCCA